AAAAGAACCCCGGCGAGGGGAGUGAAAAAGAACCUGAAACCGUGUACGUACAAGCAGUGGGAGCCCCACCACUAAGCCAGUGGUGAACUCCACAUACGCAUCCUUUGCUGAGGAUACGGUUAACGGAGCGCAAGCGACGUUCAACCGCAAAAGAAGCAGAGGGGGCUUAGUGGUGGGGUGACUGCGUACCUUUUGUAUAAUGGGUCAGCGACUUAUAUUCUGUAGCAAGGUUAACCGAAUAGGGGAGCCGGAGGGAAACCGAGUCUUAAUUGGGCGUUAAGUUGCAGG
rnacentral:rRNA from 1 species